AUUGAACGCUGGCGGCAGGCCUAACACAUGCAAGUCGAGCGAGCGGCGGACGGGUGAGUAAUGUCUGGGAAACUGCCUGAUGGAGGGGGAUAACUACUGGAAACGGUAGCUAAUACCGCAUACCAUCAGAUGUGCCCAGAUGGGAUUAGCUAGUAGGUGGGGUAAAGGCCUACCAAGGCGACGAUCUGUAGCGGGUCUGAGAGGUGGAUCCGCCACACUGGGAAUGAGAAACGGCACAGACUCCUACGGUAGGCAGCAGUGGGGAAUAUUGGGCAAUGGGGGGAACCCUGAACCAGCCAUGCCGCGUGUGUGAAGAAGGCUUUAUGGUUGUAAAGCACUGUAAGCGAGGAGGCGUUCUCGCAGGUAAGCACCGGCUAACUCUGUGCCAGCAGCCGCGGUAAUUC
rnacentral:rRNA from 1 species